rnacentral:rRNA from 1 species
GACGAACGCUGGCGGCGUGCCUAAUACAUGCAAGUAGAACGCUGAAGGAGGAGCUUGCUUCUCUGGAUGAGUUGCGAACGGGUGAGUAACGCGUAGGUAACCUGCCUGGUAGCGGGGGAUAACUAUUGGAAACGAUAGCUAAUACCGCAUAACAGUAGAUAUCGCAUGAUAUCUACUUGAAAGGUGCAAUUGCAUCACUACCAGAUGGACCUGCGUUGUAUUAGCUAGUUGGUGAGGUAACGGCUCACCAAGGUGACGAUACAUAGCCGACCUGAGAGGGGGAUCGGCCACACUGGGACUGAGACACGGCCCAGACUCCUACGGGAGGCAGCAGUAGGGAAUCUUCGGCAAUGGACGGAAGUCUGACCGAGCAACGCCGCGUGAGUGAAGAAGGUUGUCGGAUCGUAAAGCUCUGUUGUAAGAGAAGAACGAGUGUGAGAGUGGAAAGUUCACACUGUGACGGUAUCUUACCAGAAAGGGACGGCUAACUACGUG